AAGAAGAAGAAGAAGAAGAAGAAGAAGAAGAAGAAGACAUUACAACUGCGACAUCUUGGGAAAACAUUCUUUAACAGUAGGUGAUGGCAGACCUUGGACUGAAGGAGUGGGACAGAGUGCUGCUGAUAUGGACUCAGCCAUCAUCUCCCACUGCACUGAAGGAGUUUGCUGAAAGCAUUGGCGCUGCUGUUGGUAACCAGAGUCUGGUAUCUUUGGAGAACAUGGAGAGACUACAACUUUCUUCUCACGC